rnacentral:rRNA from 1 species
UAAGUAUNACCUGCCCGGUGUAAAUUUUAAACGGCUAUAUAAUAAUAUUAAAGUAGCGUAGUAAAUUGUCAUUUAAUUAAUGAAUAUAAUGAAGGUAUUAUGAAUUAAAUUCUGUCUUUAAGAAAUAAAAUAAAAUUAAUAAUAUAGUGAAAAAUCUUAAUUAUUUUUAAAAGACGAUAAGACCCUAUAGAACUUAUUUAAAACUUUAAAUUUGCUGGGGAAGUAAAAAUAAAAAAGAAA